CCUACGGGCGGCAGCAGUGGGGAAUAUUGGGCAAUGGAGGCAACUCUGACCCAGCAACGCCGCGUGAAUGAUGAAGGUCUUCGGAUUGUAAAGUUCUGUGAUGGGGGAUGAACACAAUGACGGUACCCCAAUAGCAAGCCACGGCUAACUACGUGCCAGCAGCCGCGGUAAUACGUAGGUGACAAGCGUUAUCCGGAUUUACUGGGUGUAAAGGGAGCGUAGACGGCUGUGCAAGUCUGAAGUGAAAGCCCGGGGCUCAACCGCGGAACUGCUUUGGAAACUGUAUAGCUUGAGUACUGGAGAGGCAGGCGGAAUUGCUAGUGUAGCGGUGAAAUGCGUAGAUAUUAGGAGGAACACCAGUGGCGAAGGCGGGCUGCUGGACAGAAACUGACGUUGAGGCUCGAAAGCGUGGGGAGCAAACAGGAUUAGAUACCCGGGUAGUC
rnacentral:rRNA from 1 species